AGCGAACGCUGGCGGCAGGCUUAACACAUGCAAGUCGAGCGGGCAUCUUCGGGUGUCAGCGGCGGACGGGUGAGUAACGCGUGGGAACGUGCCCUCUGGUUCGGAAUAACUCAGGGAAACUUGAGCUAAUACCGGAUACGCCCUUUUUGGGGAAAGGCUUGCUGCCGGAGGAUCGGCCCGCGGCUGAUUAGCUCGUUGGUGGGGUAACGGCCUACCAAGGCGACGAUAAGUAGCUGGUCUGAGAGGAUGAUCAGCCACACUGGGACGGAGACACGGCCCAGCCUCCUACGGGAGGGAGCAGUGGGGAAUAUUGGACAAUGGGGGCAACCCUGAUCCAGCCAUGCCGCGUGAGUGAUGAAGGCCUUAGGGUUGUAAAGCUCUUUUAUCCGGGACGAUAAUGACGGUACCGGAGGAAUAAGCCCCGGCUAACUUCGUGCCAGCCGCCGCGGUAA
rnacentral:rRNA from 1 species